AAAAACGUGGAAUUCUUGGGAAAAACAGAAAAUUUUGGGGAAAAACCACGAAAUUCCUGGAAAAAAAUGAGGAAUUGUUGGGAAAAAAUGCAGAAUUCCCAGGAAAAAUAUGGAAUUCUUGGGAAAAACCAUGGAAUUCCCAGGAAAAAAUACGGAGUUCCCAGGAAAAACAUGGAAUUCUUGGGGAAAAAUGUGGAAUUCUUGGGAAAAAAUGUGGAAUUUUUGGGGAAAACGUGGAAUUUUUGGGAAAAAAUGCGGAAUUUUGGGAAAAAAUGCAGAAUUUUUUGGGAAAACCAUUGAAUUCCCAGGAAAAACUCGGAUUUCUCAGGAAAAACUCGGAUUUCUCAGGAAAAGACGCAGAAUUUUUGGGAAAAAACCUGAAAUUCCCAGGAAAAAACACAAAAUUCCCAGGAAAAAAGGAGGAAUUCUCGGGA
rnacentral:lncRNA from 1 species